UAUUUUAUAAAUAGAUACAAUUUACAAAUAUUUAUAUAUACUAACUUUAAAAAUAAAUUGUUCCGCAGUACGCCGCAGAUUAAAAUCUAGUAAAAUUCUAUUAUUGAUGACAAAUAUUAUAAAAUU
rnacentral:sRNA from 1 species